GCUUCAUCCCGUCUGGAGCAGAUCCUGUUUUGGUCCGCAGGGUUGUGACCAGAAAACAAGUCCUGUUGGUCUCCCACCUCAAUCUGACGGAUAUUAUUUUGACACAGUGUUACAUUUCUGGUUCCAGCUAAGAAAGGUGAUGAAAAGUUGCUUUUUAGACAAAAUAAGCCCUUACCCUCAAAGGAAAGUUGCUCCUGAAAUACAAGCAGAAAUCAGUGGAGUCCUGGUUGCUUCCUCUGCAAAUCGGUGAUGGCUUAUACAAAGAACAGUAUUAAAGACUCCGCGGCUGGACGCGGUGGGUCGCGCCUGUAAUCCCAGCACUUUGGGAGACCGAGGUGAGUGGAUCGCCUGAGGUCAGGAGUUCAA
rnacentral:lncRNA from 1 species